rnacentral:lncRNA from 1 species
UCUGUCUAAAACAUCGUUGCUGCAAGCUAGAAAGCAAGAAGACUGAUACCAAACUACUCCAGCUCAGAGCAUUGCUGCAGUUCACAGAAUCAAGAACAUUUCCACUCUGUUCAUUUUCCUGUGGUGUAGGUGCAAGAAAUGGCUUAAGAUGGAGGGGAGCAUCUGCAAGAUACACAAGAAGCAAAAAAAGGCUGGUGCUGACAAGUUCACCCAAGACAAUCAAGGAUAAGUUAUUGCAAUAACAACAUAGCCCUAAAUGUGGGGCAGGGCAGAAUUACAUCACCUAAGGAGGAGCAUCUGCAAGAUUUUUUCUUCUCAAAGCACAGAUCCUAAAGUCAUUUCUCCCUGAGGAGGAAGGUAGCUUUCCUUGUGACUUAAUGGCCCAGCAUCCCUGGUGUAUCUUGGUGAGUAAUGCCCUAGGUAUUCUUGAGGAAUGUGUAGCAACUGUUUAUCUGAAUAGCUUUUGUGAAAGUCUUUGAAGUGAAUAGAACCUGCAGGUUUGCCCACUCAGCAGGUCUGCAGCUGGCAGAAGGUCAUAUGCCAGUCUAGGAGUCUACUCAUAAACUU